rnacentral:rRNA from 1 species
AAAGGAGCAAUCUCCGCGUGAGGGAUGACGGCCUAUGGGUUGUAAACCUCUUUUUUCAGGGAGGAACAAAAUGACGUGUACCUGAAGAAUAAGCAUCGGCUAACUCCGUGCCAGCAGCCGCGGUAAGACGGAGGAUGCAAGUGUUAUCCGGAAUCACUGGGCGUAAAGCGUCUGUAGGUGGUUUAGUAAGUCAACUGUUAAAUCUUGAAGCUCAACUUCAAAAUCGCAGUCGAAACUAUUAGACUAGAGUAUAGUAGGGGUAAAGGGAAUUUCCAGUGGAGCGGUGAAAUGCGUAGAGAUUGGAAAGAACACCGAUGGCGAAGGCACUUUACUGGGCUAUUACUGACACUCAGAGACGAAAGCUAGGGUAGCAAAUGGGAUUAGAUACCCCAGUAGUC